rnacentral:rRNA from 1 species
AUACGGAGGGCGCAAGCGUUGUUCGGAAUCACUGGGCGUAAAGCGCGUGUAGGCGGCUCAGCAAGUUGGUUGUGAAAUCCCGGGGCUCAACCCCGGAACUGCAACCAAAACUACUGAGCUUGAGUCUCGGAGAGGGUGGCGGAAUUUCCGGUGUAGAGGUGAAAUUCGUAGAUAUCGGAAGGAACACCAGUGGCGAAGGCGGCCACCUGGACGAUGACUGACGCUGAGACGCGAAAGCGUGGGUAGCAAACAGGAUUAGAUACCCCAGUAGUCC